AGCCAAUGACAUUAGAAGGGUCUGGGGAUUUGUUUAAAAGGAGCAACCAAAAGCCUGUCAGAUACAGCAAAAGGGAUAUUAUGCUAGGGCUUAUACUGACCAUUAGUUCUGAUUACUGGGGAGGUUUUGAAGCGCAAAGUGGCCAUGAUUAUUGGAAUCGCUUUCAGAGUUUCUUGGCUUUGUUGCCUGCUAAUUGGAGGGAUAACCUGUUCUACAUCAAGUGAUGGGUAUCCUGCACUAGGUUCUGAUGCAGCAUGGCUCUAUGCAGGCUCACUUGGGUCUAAAGGAUAUGGUAAUUACAACUCUCCAACAGCUGAAAUGCAAGCGCAGCUGACCGAAGAGCAACAGAAGCAUCCGGCUGCCAUCCUGCAAAAACAACUGGCCCCCAUGUCCCAGGCACCUCAGAAAAUGUGGUAUCCAGCUCAAAUGCCCCAGAAGCAACCAGCUACUGAACUUCAGCAUCAGAAGGAACAGGCCUCCAUACCCCAGCUACCUCAGCAAGUGUGGCAUCCAGUUCAAAUACCCCAGCAGCAAAAGCAACCAGCUACUGGUCCUCAGCAGCAGAAGGAACUGACCACCAUGCCCCAGAAGCAACUGGCUCCAAUGCCUAUACCUCAGAACCAACCAACAGCUAUGCCCCAGCAAGCAUGGUAUCCAGCCCCAAUGCCUCCACCGCAGAAGCAACCGGCCACCAUGCCCCAGCAAGUGUGGCAUCCAGCUCAGCAGCACAGCAGCAGAACCUCAGCAGCAGAAGGAACCGGCCGCCAUAACUCAGCAAGUGUUGCAUCCAGCUCAAAUGCUGCUGAAGCAACCGACUGCCAUGCCCCAGCAAGUGUGGUAUCCAGCUCAAAAGCCCCAGAAAUAACCAGUCCCUAUGCGUCAACCGCAGAAGGAACUGACCUCCAAUCCACCACAACUGUGGCAAUCUGCUCAAAUGCCCCAGCAGCAUAA
ensembl:lncRNA